UACGUAGGGUGCGAGCGUUAAUAGGAAUUACUGGGCGUAAAGUGUGCGCAGGCGGCCGCGCAAGUCGAGUGUGAAAGCCCCGGGCUUAACUUGGGAAUUGCGCUCGAAACUACGUGGCUAGAGUGUGGCAGAGGGAGGUGGAAUUCCACGUGUAGCGGUGAAAUGCGUAGAGAUGUGGAGGAACACCGAUGGCGAAGGCAGCCUCCUGGGCCAACACUGACGCUCAUGCACGAAAGCGUGGGUAGCAAACAGG
rnacentral:rRNA from 1 species